UCAACGUUUACAAAAGUGACCAUUAUAUAAAAAUAAAUAUGUAGAGUUGUGCAGUGCUGCUGAUAAAUCAUAACUUCAGAUUUUUUUUUUUUCCAAUUAAACUUAAGAUUAAAGAAUAAUUAAUAAAAUAAUGUCAUUAUUGAUUUUAGUGGUGUUCAAAUGAUAACCAUAUUUCCAGGCUUCCAGCGUAUAUGAUCCUUAGCUAUAGUUUGGAAUAAAAAAGAGUAAUAAUAAUCCGAGUGAUUACGGCUAAACAUCUGUAACUAUACCAACUUUUUUUUUUUUUUGUGAAGCUUAAAAAAGGAUCUAAAAUAUUUUAGAAGAGAUUAUAAUUUUUUUUCUAAAACAAAUUAUCAUAUUAUUCAUGAAUUUUACAAUAAAAUAUAAAUACAUGUUAGUCAAAUCUUUAACAUUAAUAAGUUUUUUUUUAUCUCUUCCAUUUACGAGUUCUUCAUUUAA
rnacentral:lncRNA from 1 species